GGUUGUUUUAGGACAAGUUAAGUCUGAGGUGCAUUGACUUUAUGCUGUGUUGUCAAGGUUUCAAAGUCGGAAGCAGUGUGGAAGAGCUCAGGAGAGAGAUGAAGAGAGAACUCAGGGAGUUUGAAAAUGUUGAUUCAGGACUUGGAAACAAAACAAGUAAUUAAAAUAGUUGAAUGGAAUGGAGUGCCCAGGCUUAGAUUAUCAAGAGAAUAGGAUCAGAGAGCCCCGAAAACUCUCAAGGAAAAGGCUAAGAAGGACGUCUCGGGGGAGUAUGGUUUAGUGGGAGUUGAGAAAGGAGAAAGGAUUCAAUGGAAUCACAUGUUAGUGCACAAACGGUUAAUAUUACCCUUCGGAUUUGGGAGUUAAGGAUCCCUGAUUACUUCAGCAGGCCGUUUUCAAUGAGGGCAAUUCCAAUCUUCGAUGACUUGAGAAGAAGUGGGAAUAUCAUGCAUUGUGUUCCGUUUGACAAGGUGCAAGUGGGAAAUAAAACUUACUGUCUUUGCAUUGAUGGAAGCAGCAACCUCAGAUUCAUCAAGUCCUUGGCAAGAUAUUUCACGCAGCCCACCUUCUGCAUUUGGCAUUAUAUAUGCCCCCGUGAGUAGCUUUUCCUCUAAAAUAAGUUUGAGAAGUUUUCUACCUCAUCCUUUAAUCCCAUUGUGCACCCCCACAAAGAAUCCUCCUAAAUGUGUGGCCUUUCAGUUGUAUGAAUUGUGGCAAGAACUUAAAAGACAAAACUCAUUUUUAAACAAUCCAAAUUUUGCUUCAUCAUGUGGGAUACCUGGGUUUGACCCCUGAGUUGGGAAGAUCCUCUGGAGAUGGAAAUGGCACCCCACUCCAGUACUUUUGCCUGGAAAAUUCCUUGGGUGACGGAGCCUGGUAGGCUACAGUCCAUGGGGUCACAAAGAGUCGGACAUGACUGAGCAACCUCACUGGUCUAUGCAGAGGUGGCUGAUGGUAGUCAUGAAAGUAGCAAUCCCUGACUUGACCAGAUGAGGUAGGCAGUAUUUUGAGAUGAACUCCAAGAUUCCUGCUCCUCCAGUGUGCAUAAUCUUGAAUAAUGCCUUCCCCUUGAGGAUGGGAGAAAGCUUGAAUUUGUUCCUAACUAAUAGAAUAUGAUCAGAGAAGGCAAUGGCACCCUACUCCAGUACUCUUGCCUGGAAAAUCCAUGGACAGAAGAGCCUGGUAGGCUACAGUCCACGGGGUCACUAAGAGUCAGACACGACUGAGCGACUUCACUUUCACUUUUCACUUUCAUGCAUUGGAGAAGGAAAUGGCAACCCACUCCAGUGUUUUUGCCUGGAGAAUCCCAGGGGUGGGGAAGCCUGGUGGGCUGCUGUCUAUGGGGUCACACAGAGUCAGACAUUACUGAAGCAACACAGCAGCAG
rnacentral:lncRNA from 1 species